GACGAACGCUGGCGGCGUGCUUAACACAUGCAAGUCGAACGGAAAGGCCCUGCUCUUGUGGGGUGCUCGAGUGGCGAACGGGUGAGUAACACGUGAGUAACCCGUCCUUGACUUUGGGAUAAAUUCAGGAAACUGGGGCUAAUACAGGAUAGGAGCUCCUGCUGCAUGGUGGGGGUUGGAAAGAUUCGGCGGUUGGGGAUGGAUUCGAGGGUUAUCGGCUUGUUGGUGGGGUAGUGGCUUACCAAGUCUUUGACGGGUAGCCGGCCUUGGAGGGUGACCGGCGACAAUGGGACUGAGAUAGGGCCCAGACGCCUACGGGAGGCAGCGGUGGAGAGUAUUGCACAGUGGGCGGGAGCCUGUUACGACAGCGCCGGGUGCGGGAUAACGGCCUUCGAGUGAAAAACAGCUUUGUCCUGUGACGAAGCGGGAGUGACGGUAAUGGGUAAAGAAGCACCGGCUAACUACGUG
rnacentral:rRNA from 1 species